AGUGAACGCUGGCGGUAGGCCUAAUACAUGCAAGUCGAACGGCAGCACAGUAAGAGCUUGCUCUUACGGGUGGCGAGUGGCGGACGGGUGAGGAAUACAUCGGAAUCUACUUUUUCGUGGGGGAUAACGUAGGGAAACUUACGCUAAUACCGCAUACGACCUACGGGUGAAAGCAGGGGAUCUUCGGACCUUGCGCGAUUGAAUGAGCCGAUGUCGGAUUAGCUAGUUGGCGGGGUAAAGGCCCACCAAGGCGACGAUCCGUAGCUGGUCUGAGAGGAUGAUCAGCCACACUGGAACUGAGACACGGUCCAGACUCCUACGGGAGGCAGCAGUGGGGAAUAUUGGACAAUGGGCGCAAGCCUGAUCCAGCCAUACCGCGUGGGUGAAGAAGGCCUUCGGGUUGUAAAGCCCUUUUGUUGGGAAAGAAAAGCGGCAGGUUAAUACCCCGCUGUUCUGACGGUACCCAAAGAAUAAGCACCGGCUAACUUCGUG
rnacentral:rRNA from 1 species